rnacentral:lncRNA from 1 species
CCGCCUCCUGGCAAGUAGGCCCUGCCUCCCGAGUCCUGACUUAGUCAUGUUGAGACCUGGUCUGCUUCUGUAUCUAGAUCCACGGUGUCCUCCAGUCCUAACACGCCUCCCCAGACACCCAGAAAUAGGACUCAUAGACUUGCCCUCAGAACCAGCCCCCGCCCGCCCCACGUAGUCGCAGCCUCCAACAGCGCAAGUGGCUGGUGAGCCUCAGUCAACAGCCCCCUCCAGCCUCGCAGCCACCGCACAGGCCUGCUUUGCACUUGGAUUGUCCCGACCGUGUUCCUGGAACUUGGGGGUAGCAAAAGAGAUAUGCAAACAAACCGGAAUGGAAUGGCACUCGCUCAACCUCUGGGGAAAUCCGCACUCCAUAAAUGACCAAGGAGGCUUUCCGAACAGGAUGUUUCUCAGUGAAAAAGUCAUGCAUCGGGGGCAAGUCUGACAUCAGGCGUUUCUUUCACGGAUCGUGCCUUUGGCGUUGGAUCUCAGGCACUCUUUGACUUGUUCUAGAUCCUGAAGGUUUUCUUCCAUAUUUUCUCUAAAAUUUUAUAGCUUCAUAUUUUACAUUUCAGUCCGUGGUCCAUUUGCAGGGUUUUUCUUUUUUGUUAUUUUGUCGUCUUGUUUUGUUUUGUUUUGUUUUUGUAUAAAAUGUGAGAAUAAAGUUGAGUUUCUUUUUUCUUUUCUUUCUUUU